AACGAACGCUGGCGGCGUGCCUAACACAUGCAAGUCGAGCGAGAAAAGGGGGGCAACUCCCUGAGUACAGCGGCGCACGGGUGAGUAACACGCAGGUAACCUGCCCUCGAGCUCGGAAUAACCUACCGAAAGGUGGGCUAAUACCGGAUAUGACCACGGGAGUUUCGGCUCCUGCGGUGAAAGGUGGCCUCUACCUGUAAGCUACCACUCAAGGAUGGGCCUGCGUGCCAUUAGCUAGUUGGUAAGGUAACGGCUCACCAAGGCUAUGAUGGCUAGCUGGUCUGAGAGGAGGGCCAGCCACACUGGGACUGAAACACGGCCCAGACUCCUACGGGAGGCAGCAGUAAGGAAUAUUGCUCAAUGGCCGAAAGGCUGAAGCAGCAACGCCGCGUGAGGGA
rnacentral:rRNA from 1 species